CCGAGUGAGGGCCUUUGGCCCGACCUCCAACCCUUCUGUGAUUCUGACCGCGUUGCCUCGAGGGCGACCCGUCCGCUCCGGCGUCGGGCCCCUCGGCGGACCCCUCAUCAACUCUGCAUUUUUGCGUCGGUUUAUGAGUUUUAAAAUCAUACA
rnacentral:misc_RNA from 1 species